rnacentral:rRNA from 1 species
GAUGAACGCUGGCGGCGUGCCUAAUACAUGCAAGUCGAGCGAACAGACGAGGAGCUUGCUCCUCUGACGUUAGCGGCGGACGGGUGAGUAACACGUGGAUAACCUACCUAUAAGACUGGGAUAACUUCGGGAAACCGGAGCUAAUACCGGAUAAUAUAUUGAACCGCAUGGUUCAAUAGUGAAAGACGGUUUUGCUGUCACUUAUAGAUGGAUCCGCGCCGCAUUAGCUAGUUGGUAAGGUAACGGCUUACCAAGGCAACGAUGCGUAGCCGACCUGAGAGGGUGAUCGGCCACACUGGAACUGAGCCACGGUCCAGACUCCUACGGGAGGCAGCAGUAGGGAAUCUUCCGCAAAGGGCGAAAGCCUGACGGAGCAACGCCGCGUGAGUGAUGAAGGUCUUCGGAUCGUAAAACUCUUUUAUUAGGGAAGAACAAAUGUGUAAGUAACUAUGCACGUCUUGACGGUACCUAAUCAGAAAGCCACGGCUAACUACGUG